rnacentral:pre_miRNA from 1 species
AUGGUACUCCCUCCGUCCAACAAAAAAUGUCUCAAGUUUGUUAAAAUUUGAAUGUAUCUAGACAUAACUUAGUGUAUAGAUGCAUUCAAAUUUAGUUAAAAUUUAGACAUCCUUUGUUGGACGGAAGGAGUAUUAA